UUGAUUGAUGGUGCUUGCACCUGAUUGAUUUUGGUCGCCAACGAGUGGCGGACGGGUGAGUAACACGUAGGUAACCUGCCCAGAAGCGGGGGACAACAUUUGGAAACAGAUGCUAAUACCGCAUAACAGCGUUGUUCGCAUGAACAACGCUUAAAAGAUGGCUUCUCGCUAUCACUUCUGGAUGGACCUGCGGUGCAUUAGCUUGUUGGUGGGGUAACGGCCUACCAAGGCGAUGAUGCAUAGCCGAGUUGAGAGACUGAUCGGCCACAAUGGGACUGAGACACGGCCCAUACUCCUACGGGAGGCAGCAGUAGGGAAUCUUCCACAAUGGGCGCAAGCCUGAUGGAGCAACACCGCGUGAGUGAAGAAGGGUUUCGGCUCGUAAAGCUCUGUUGUUAAAGAAGAACACGUAUGAGAGUAACUGUUCAUACGUUGACGGUAUUUAACCAGAAAGUCACGGCUAACUACGUGCCAGCAGCCGCGGUAAUACGUAGGUGGCAAGCGUUAUCCGGAUUUAUUGGGCGUAAAGAGAGUGCAGGCGGUUUUCUAAGUCUGAUGUGAAAGCCUUCGGCUUAACCGGAGAAGUGCAUCGGAAACUGGAUAACUUGAGUGCAGAAGAGGGUAGUGGAACUCCAUGUGUAGCGGUGGAAUGCGUAGAUAUAUGGAAGAACACCAGUGGCGAAGGCGGCUACCUGGUCUGCAACUGACGCUGAGACUCGAAAGCAUGGGUAGCGAACAGGAUUAGAUACCCUGGUAGUCCAUGCCGUAAACGAUGAGUGCUAGGUGUUGGAGGGUUUCCGCCCUUCAGUGCCGGAGCUAACGCAUUAAGCACUCCGCCUGGGGAGUACGACCGCAAGGUUGAAACUCAAAGGAAUUGACGGGGGCCCGCACAAGCGGUGGAGCAUGUGGUUUAAUUCGAAGCUACGCGAAGAACCUUACCAGGUCUUGACAUCUUGCGCCAACCCUAGAGAUAGGGCGUUUCCUUCGGGAACGCAAUGACAGGUGGUGCAUGGUCGUCGUCAGCUCGUGUCGUGAGAUGUUGGGUUAAGUCCCGCAACGAGCGCAACCCUUGUUACUAGUUGCCAGCAUUAAGUUGGGCACUCUAGUGAGACUGCCGGUGACAAACCGGAGGAAGGUGGGGACGACGUCAGAUCAUCAUGCCCCUUAUGACCUGGGCUACACACGUGCUACAAUGGACGGUACAACGAGUCGCGAACUCGCGAGGGCAAGCAAAUCUCUUAAAACCGUUCUCAGUUCGGACUGCAGGCUGCAACUCGCCUGCACGAAGUCGGAAUCGCUAGUAAUCGCGGAUCAGCAUGCCGCGGUGAAUACGUUCCCGGGCCUUGUACACACCGCCCGUCACACCAUGAGAGUUUGUAACACCCAAAGUCGGUGGGGUAACCUUUAGGAGCCAGC
rnacentral:rRNA from 2 species